AUUGAACGCUGGCGGCAGGCCUAACACAUGCAAGUCGAGCGGUAACAGGAAGCAGCUUGCUGCUUUGCUGACGAGUGGCGGACGGGUGAGUAAUGUCUGGGAAACUGCCCGAUGGAGGGGGAUAACUACUGGAAACGGUAGCUAAUACCGCAUAACGUCGCAAGACCAAAGAGGGGGACCUUAGGGCCUCUUGCCAUCGGAUGUGCCCAGAUGGGAUUAGCUAGUAGGUGGGGUAACGGCUCACCUAGGCGACGAUCCCUAGCUGGUCUGAGAGGAUGACCAGCCACACUGGAACUGAGACACGGUCCAGACUCCUACGGGAGGCAGCAGUGGGGAAUAUUGCACAAUGGGCGCAAGCCUGAUGCAGCCAUGCCGCGUGUAUGAAGAAGGCCUUCGGGUUGUAAAGUACUUUCAGCGGGGAGGAAGGGAGUAAAGUUAAUACCUUUGCUCAUUGACGUUACCCGCAGAAGAAGCACCGGCUAACUCCGUG
rnacentral:rRNA from 1 species